rnacentral:rRNA from 1 species
AGUGAACGCUGGCGGCAGGCCUAACACAUGCAAGUCGAGCGGCAGCGCGGGGGCAACCCUGGCGGCGAGCGGCGGACGGGUGAGGAAUUCGUCGGAAUCUGCCUUUUUGUGGGGGAUAACGUAGGGAUACUUACGCUAAUCCCGCAUACGUCCUACGGGAGAAAGUGGGGGACCGCAGGUCCUCACGCCGAAGGAUGGGCCGACGACCGAUUAGCUAGUUGGUGGGGUAAAGGCUCACCAAGGCGACGAUCGGUAGCUGGUCUGAGAGGAUGAUCAGCCACAUUGGGAAGGAGACACGGCCCAAACUACUACGGGAGGCAGCAGUGGGGAAUCUUGCGGGAUGGGCGAAAGCAUGACGCAGCCAUGCCGCGUGAAUGAUGAAGGUCGUAGGAUUGUAAAAUCCUCUCACAGGGGACGAUAAUGAAGGUAACCGGAGAAGAAGCCCCGGCUAACUUCGUG